rnacentral:tRNA from 1 species
GGUAAAAUGGCAGAGUAAAAGUUAGACUGUAAAUCUAUGAACAGAGGUUCAGGCCCUCUUUUCACCA